AACUCAAUCCGGGCAAUUGUCCCCGAUUUGUCGGGGGAGGAAAGUCCGAACUUCACAGAACAAGGUGCCGGGUAACACCCGGGAGCUAAUGGAGUAAUCUAUUAUCGACUGACAGUGCCACAGAAAAUAGACUACCCUGAAAUUUAUUUUCGGGGAAAAGGUGAAAAGGCGAGGUAAGAGCUCACCGGCUCAAUAGUAAUAUUGGGUGCAUGGCAAACCACACCUGAAGCAAGGUCAAGUAAGAAAAUCUUCCUGACUUGCCUACCGUAAGGUAGGUUAUUUCGGGAAAGAGUUGUUCGCUCUUAACUAAUGCUUAAUUGCAGGUUGGAUUUUCGGGUAGACCGCUAAAGUCUGUUGGUAACAACAGAAUGAGAUAAAUAAUUGCCGCCCCGACCUGACUGCCGUCUGGCAGGUUUUAUCGGGGUUACAAAAUUCGGCUUACAGGAUUGAGCUUUUA
rnacentral:RNase_P_RNA from 1 species